GACAGAGGGUGCAAACGUUGUUCGGAAUUACUGGGCGUAAAGCGUGUGUAGGCGGCUUUGCAAGUCGGAUGUGAAAGCCCCGGGCUCAACCCGGGAAGUGCACUCGAUACUGCAGAGCUUGAGUGUGGGAGAGGUUGGUGGAAUUCUCGGUGUAGAGGUGAAAUUCGUAGAUAUGCGGAGGAACACCGAUGGCGAAGGCAAUCCCCUGGGCCUGCACUGACGCUCAUGCACGAAAGCGUGGGGAGCAAACAGG
rnacentral:rRNA from 1 species